UAGGGAAUCUUCCGCAAUGGGCGAAAGCCUGACGGAGCAACGCCGCGUGAGUGAUGAAGGUCUUCGGAUCGUAAAACUCUGUUAUUAGGGAAGAACAAAUGUGUAAGUAACUAUGCACGUCUUGACGGUACCUAAUCAGAAAGCCACGGCUAACUACGUGCCAGCAGCCGCGGUAAUACGUAGGUGGCAAGCGUUAUCCGGAAUUAUUGGGCGUAAAGCGCGCGUAGGCGGUUUUUUAAGUCUGAUGUGAAAGCCCACGGCUCAACCGUGGAGGGUCAUUGGGAACUGGAAAACUUGAGUGCAGAAGAGGAAAGUGGAAUUCCAUGUGUAGCGGUGAAAUGCGCAGAGAUAUGGAGGAACACCAGUGGCGAAGGCGACUUUCUGGUCUGUAACUGACGCUGAUGUGCGAAAGCGUGGGGAUCAAACAGG
rnacentral:rRNA from 2 species